rnacentral:misc_RNA from 1 species
GAUGAAGAACGCAGCGAAAUGCGAUAAGUAGUGUGAAUUGCAGAAUUCAGUGAAUCAUCGAAUCUUUGAACGCACAUUGCGCCCCUUGGUAUUCCAUGGGGCAUGCCUGUUCGAGCGUCAUCUACACCCUCAAGCUCUGCUUGGUGUUGGGCGUCUGUCCCGCCUUUGCGCGUGGACUCGCCCAAAUUCAUUGGCAGCGGUCCUUGCCUCCUCUCGCGCAGCACAUUUGCGCUUCUCGAGGUGCGCGGGCCGCGUCCACGAAGCAACUAUUACCGUCUUUGACCUCGGAUCAGGUAGGGAUACCCGCUGAACUUAAGCAUAUCAAUAAGCGGAGGA